rnacentral:rRNA from 1 species
UUAUGGCUCAGGACGAACGCUGGCGGCGUGCCUAACACAUGCAAGUCGAGCGGGGACAUACGACGGAACCAAAGUUUCGGGUGGAGGUGAAGAUGUAUGUUCUAGCGGCGGACGGGUGAGUAACGCGUGAGCAACCUGUCCCUUACAGGGGGAUAACACAGCGAAAGUUGUACUAAUACCGCAUGAGACCACGGGGAGACACCUUUCUGAGGUCAAAGGAGCAAUCCGGUAAGGGGUGGGCUCGCGUCCGAUUAGAUAGUUGGUGAGGUAACGGCCCACCAAGUCGACGAUCGGUAGCCGACCUGAGAGGGUGAUCGGCCACAUUGGGACUGAGACACGGCCCAAACUCCUACGGGAGGCAGCAGUGGGGAAUAUUGGGCAAUGGGGGGAACCCUGACCCAGCAACGCCGCGUGAGGGAAGAAGGCUUUCGGAUCGUAAACCUCUGUCCUUGGUGAAGAGGAAGAGACGGUAGCCAAGGAGGAAGCCCCGGCUAACUACGUGCCAGCAGCUGC